UACAGAGGUCCCAAGCGUUGUUCGGAUUCACUGGGCGUAAAGGGUGCGUAGGUGGCCGGGUAAGUUUGAUGUGAAAUCUCCGAGCUCAACUCGGAAAUGGCAUUGAAUACUAUCCUGCUUGAGGGUCGGAGGGGAGACUGGAAUUCUCGGUGUAGCAGUGAAAUGCGUAGAUAUCGAGAGGAACACCAGUGGCGAAGGCGAGUCUCUGGACGACUCCUGACACUGAGGCACGAAAGCUAGGGGAGCAAACAGG
rnacentral:rRNA from 1 species